rnacentral:rRNA from 1 species
CGGGGAAUAUUGCACAAUGGGCGAAAGCCUGAUGCAGCAACGCCGCGUGAGUGAUGAAGGUCUUCGGAUUGUAAAGCUCUGUCUUUUGGGACGAUAAUGACGGUACCAAAGGAGGAAGCCACGGCUAACUACGUGCCAGCAGCCGCGGUAAUACGUAGGUGGCGAGCGUUGUCCGGAUUUACUGGGCGUAAAGGGUGCGUAGGCGGAUGUUUAAGUGAGAUGUGAAAUACCCGGGCUUAACUUGGGUGCUGCAUUUCAAACUGGAUAUCUAGAGUGCAGGAGAGGAGAAUGGAAUUCCUAGUGUAGCGGUGAAAUGCGUAGAGAUUAGGAAGAACACCAGUGGCGAAGGCGAUUCUCUGGACUGUAACUGACGCUGAGGCACGAAAGCGUGGGUAGCAAACAGGAUUAGAUACCCUGGUAG